AUGGCCUGGAUCCCGCUCCUCCUGGCCCUCCUGGCUCACUGCACAGGCUCUGUGGUCUCCUAUGAACUGACUCAGCCUUCCUCAGUGUCGGUGUCUCUGGGAGAGACGGUCAGGUUGACGUGUCAGGGAGACAACAUUGGAAGUAAAAGUGCUCACUGGUACCAGCAUAAGCCAGGCCAGGCCCCUGUGCUGGUCAUUUUUUAUGAUAACGAGCGGCUCUCAGGGAUCCCUGACCGGUUCUCUGGCUCCAAAUCGGGGAACACGGCCACCCUGACAAUCAGCGGGGCACAGGCUGAGGACGAGGCUGACUAUUACUGUCAUGUGUGGCACAGCAGCAGUGAUCAGAAGGGCGGCGUCACAGGGAUGACAGUGGUAGGAGACAGAGAAACAGCAGCAGGAGCAGAGGAACAGAGACCAUGA